rnacentral:tRNA from 1 species
GGGGCUGUAGCUCAGCUGGGAGAGCACCUGCUUUGCAAGCAGGGGGUCAUCGGUUCGAUCCCGAUCAGCUCCACAA